rnacentral:ncRNA from 1 species
GUUCUGGGCCGCACGCGCGCUACACUGAUGUAUUCAACGAGUAUAUAGCCUUGGCCGACAGGCCCGGGUAAUCUUGGGAAAUUUCAUCGUGAUGGGGAUAGAUCAUUGCAAUUACUGGUCUUCAACGAGGAAUGCCUAGUAAGCGCGAGUCAUCAGCUCGCGUUGACUACGUCCCUGCCCUUUGUACACACCGCCCGUCGCUCCUACCGAUUGAAUGGUCCGGUGAAGUGUUCGGAUCGCGGCGACGGGGGCGG